rnacentral:rRNA from 1 species
CCUACGGGAGGCAGCAGUGAGGAAUAUUGGUCAAUGGACGAGAGUCUGAACCAGCCAAGUAGCGUGAAGGAUGACUGUCCUAUGGGUUGUAAACUUCUUUUAUCUGGGAAUAAAAUGUUCCACGUGUGGGUUUUUGUAUGUACCAUAUGAAUAAGGAUCGGCUAACUCCGUGCCAGCAGCCGCGGUAAUACGGAGGAUCCGAGCGUUAUCCGGAUUUAUUGGGGUUAAAGGGGGCGUAGGUGGAUUGUUAAGUCAGUUGUGAAAGUUUGCGGCUCAACCGUAAAAUUGCAGUUGAAACUGGCAGUCUUGAGUACAGUAGAGGUGGGCGGAAUUCGUGGUGUAGCGGUGAAAUGCUUAGAUAUCACGAAGAACUCCGAUUGCGAAGGCAGCUCACUGGACUGCAACUGACACUGAGGCUCGAAAGUGUGGGUAUCAAACAGGAUUAGAUACCCUUGUAGUC